GAUGAACGCUGACAGAAUGCUUAACACAUGCAAGUCCACUUGAAUUUGGGUUUUUAACUUAGGUUUGGGUGGCGGACGGGUGAGUAACGCGUAAAGAACUUGCCUCACAGCUAGGGACAACAUUUGGAAACGAAUGCUAAUACCUAAUAUUAUGAUAAUAGGGCAUCCUAUAAUUAUGAAAGCUAUAAGCGCUGUGAGAGAGCUUUGCGUCCCAUUAGCUAGUUGGAGAGGUAACGGCUCACCAAGGCGAUGAUGGGUAGCCGGCCUGAGAGGGUGAUCGGCCACAAGGGGACUGAGACACGGCCCUUACGCCUACGGGAGGCAGCAGUGGGGAAUAUUGGACAAUGGACCGAGAGUCUGAUCCAGAAAUUCUGUGUGCACGAUGAAGUUUUUCGGAAUGUAAAGUGCUUUCAGUUGGGAAGAAACAAAUGACGGUACCAACAGAAGAAGUGACGGCUAAAUACGUG
rnacentral:rRNA from 1 species